UGUUAGGGGGUUUCCGCCCCUUAGUGCUGCAGCUAACGCAUUAAGCACUCCGCCUGGGGAGUACGGUCGCAAGACUGAAACUCAAAGGAAUUGACGGGGGCCCGCACAAGCGGUGGAGCAUGUGGUUUAAUUCGAAGCAACGCGAAGAACCUUACCAGGUCUUGACAUCCCGCCGACCGCCUAGGAGACUAGGCCUUCCCUUCGGGGACGGCGGUGACAGGUGGUGCAUGGUUGUCGUCAGCUCGUGUCGUGAGAUGUUGGGUUAAGUCCCGCAACGAGCGCAACCCUUGAUCUUAGUUGCCAGCAUUCAGUUGGGCACUCUAAGGUGACUGCCGGUGACAAACCGGAGGAAGGUGGGGAUGACGUCAAAUCAUCAUGCCCCUUAUGACCUGGGCUACACACGUGCUACAAUGGAUGGUACAAAGGGCUGCGAACCCGCGAGGGGGAGCCAAUCCCAUAAAACCAUUCUCAGUUCGGAUUGUAGGCUGCAACUCGCCUACAUGAAGCUGGAAUCGCUAGUAAUCGUGGAUCAGCAUGCCACGGUGAAUACGUUCCCGGGCCUUGUACACACCGCCCGUCACACCACGAGAGUUUGUAACACCCGAAGUCGGUGGGGUAACCUUUAUGGAGCCAGCCGCCGAAGGUGGGACAGAUGAUUGGGGUGA
rnacentral:rRNA from 1 species